GUGAGGAAUUUUCCGCAAUGGGCGAAAGCCUGACGGAGCAAUGCCGCGUGAAGGAUGAAGGCCUAUGGGUUGUAAACUUCUUUUCUCAGAAAAGAAUUAUGACGGUAUCUGAGGAAUAAGCAUCGGCUAACUCUGUGCCAGCAGCCGCGGUAAGACAGAGGAUGCAAGCGUUAUCCGGAAUGAUUGGGCGUAAAGCGUCUGUAGGUUGUUUAAAAAGUAUUCUGUCAAAGAUUAGGGCUUAACCCUAGAUAGGCAGAAUAAACUUUUAAGCUAGAGUUUGGUAGAGGCAGAGGGAAUUCCCGGUGGAGCGGUGAAAUGCGUAGAUAUCGGGAGGAACACCAAAGGCGAAGGCACUCUGCUGGGCCAAUACUAACACUGAGAGACGAAAGCGAGGGGAGCAAAUGGGAUUAGAUGCCCUAGUAGUCC
rnacentral:rRNA from 1 species